rnacentral:misc_RNA from 1 species
AUCGAAGCCCAUUGUCGAUUUCCUACUCGUAGGUGUUGGUGCUGGGUGAAUGAUGACUUCCCGUGAGCUUUUUUGUCUCAUGGUUGGUUGAAAAUUGAGACCAUGGUAGGGUGUGCCAUGAUAGAUGGUGGUUGUGUGUCGCACGAGACCAAUCAUGCGCUGCCCUAUUGAAUUUUGGCCUCUUGUACCCAUUUGCGCUUCCAAACGCUCGUGA